UACGGAGGGGGCUAGCGUUGUUCGGAAUUACUGGGCGUAAAGCGCGCGUAGGCGGACCUGCAAGUCGGGGGUGAAAGCCCGAGGCUCAACCUCGGAACUGCCUUCGAUACUGCGGGUCUCGAGUCCGGGGAGAGGUGAGUGGAAUUCCUAGUGUAGAGGUGAAAAUUCGUAGAUAUCAGGAGGAACACCAACGGCGAAGGCAGCUCGCUGGGACGGUACUGACACUAAGGCGCGAAAGCUAGGGGAGCAA
rnacentral:rRNA from 1 species